rnacentral:lncRNA from 1 species
CGAGAAGAAGCUGAGGCUCUUUGCCUGGAGGAAACGCUGGUUUAUCCUGCAGAGGGGCCAGACUAGCAGUGACCCAGAUGUUCUGGAAUACUACAAGAAUGAUGGCUCCAAGAAGCCCCUGCGCACCAUCAACCUGAACCUCUGUGAGCAGCUGGAUGUUGGUGUGACUCUGAACUUCAACAAGAAGGAGAUUCAGAAGGGCUAUAUGUUUGACAUCAAGACCAGUGAGCGUACCUUUUACCUGGUGGCUGAGACCAGGGAGGACAUGAACGAGUGGGUCCAGAGCAUCUGUCAGAUCUGUGGCUUCA